UCGGAUGCUACACCCGUAAGGCUUUUUCCAAAAUAAGCCAUCAGUAUAUCUUCAUUUCCUCCUACACCUCUUAGUUUAUUGCAAUACCAUUUCAGGUGGUCUACGGGGUCUCCAUGUCCAUCCUAUAAGUUAAACUUUGGCAUCUUGACCCGGCAGGCAAUUGAACAUCAGAGAACAAAUACAAAUUCUUAUAAGCCACAUUCACCUGGCUUUCUAACCCUUGCAUAUUUCUCAAUUAUUGCUCCAGACUCUUUACCUUCUUAAACAUCUCCACUUGCUCCGCGUUCUUGGGUAGUUUAUCAAUUUCAACAUGAGGCUCAGUGUGAGGAGUGUAAGAGUAAGGAUCUGGGACCUUGAAUGUGGGUUCCAGGGCAUAGUAUUGGGUAUCUGGAGCUGGGAAUGCGGUUAUUUUGGCUGAUGGAUCAUGGAAAGUUUUGGAGGAAGUGCCAGAGUAAUAUUUGUAAGGGGUAUAGCCCGAUGCCUAUUGAGGAGAAAGGUCAACAGAAGUACCCAUCUGGACUUGGGACAGUGGUGGAACAGAGGCAUGGUUUUAUGUAUAGUUGGUCGGGAAUAAAGGUGGAGGAUGCCUCACGAUCCAAGACUGAUACUCUACCAUCUGCUAUUUCAACCUUUGGACCUCCUCUUUCAAUUCAGAUUCCGACUUCUCAAUCUCCCUAGACGGGUCAACAAUUCUUGCGCCCAAGUCUUUGCUAGCAAUGAAUACCUUGC
rnacentral:lncRNA from 1 species